rnacentral:rRNA from 1 species
CCUAGGGAGGCAGCAGUGGGGAAUAUUGGACAAUGGGGGCAACCCUGAUCCAGCGACGCCGCGUGGGUGAAGAAGGCCUGCGGGUUGUAAAGCCCUUUCGGUUGGGAAGAAAAGCUGCGACUUAAUACGUUGCGGCCUUGACGUAACCAACUAAAGAAGCACCGGCUAACUCUGUGCCAGCAGCCGCGGUAAUACAGAGGGUGCGAGCGUUAAUCGGAAUUACUGGGCGUAAAGCGCGCGUAGGCGGCUUUUCAAGUCGAUUGUGAAAUCCCCGGGCUUAACCUGGGAACUGCAGUCGAGACUGUCUAGCUAGAGUAUGGGAGAGGGAAGUGGAAUUUCAGGUGUAGCGGUGAAAUGCGUAGAUAUCUGAAGGAACAUCAGUGGCGAAAGCGACUUCCUGGACCAAUACUGACGCUCAUGUGCGAAAGCGUGGGGAGCAAACAGGAUUAGAUACCCCAGUAGUC